rnacentral:rRNA from 1 species
UCGCCUCCUGCAUUAUAUAAUAUAGGAGGUCCCGCCUGCCCUGUGACAAUCAGUUUAACGGCCGCGGUAUUUUAACCGUGCGAAGGUAGCGUAAUCACUUGUCUUUUAAAUGAGGACCAGUAUGAAUGGCAUAACGAGGGCUUAACUGUCUCCCCUCUCCAGUCAAUGAAAUUGACCUUCCCGUGCAGAGGCGGGAAUAAUUGUAUAAGACGAGAAGACCCUGUGGAGCUUUAGACUUAAAAUAAAUCAUGUUUAAUAUCUAAUUUUACCAGCACAAACCAAAUGAUUCUCUAUUUAAAUGUCUUUGGUUGGGGCGACCACGGGGUAAAAAAUAACCCCCACGUAGACCGGGGAUACUAUCCCUAGCACUCAGAGCCUCAACUCCAAGUAACAGAAAUUCUGACUUCCUGAUCCGGCACUUCCGAUCAACGAACCCAGUUACCCCAGGGAUAACAGCGCAAUCCCCUUCCAGAGCCCUUAUCGACAAGGGGGUUUACGACCUCGAUGUUGGAUCAGGACAUCCUAAUGGUGCAGCCGCUAU